UUUUCCAAAGGACUUCUUUUCGUGAAAGAGAUUACUCAUGUUUUCAAUGUGUAUUAUAGCUUGCCUUUGAUUGCUAUGUCUUUUCUAUAUAAAUCAUGGCACACAAGUGUUCUACUUCUCAGAGAAUAUAUGUUCUUUUAUUUCUAUUACAGGAGCUGGUCUGAGAUGGGAAAGUUUAAGGAAAUGUUCUUUUAUAUUCUCCCAAAUUGUAUAUUAUCCAAUUCGAAGCUAAGUUUCCUAUCCCAUCUCUUUUCUAUUGAUGAUAGUGUAAGAAAGAUAUCAGAACUUAACAUCUAUCAUUGAGCUUGCCAUGGCUAUCUUGUUCAUCUAUUUAUGACAAUAGUGGGCUAAGGUUUUUCCCAUAUUCUGUGUGUAUGCUAUUUGUUCAUCUAUUUGAAAGAAUUGAAGACAAGGUUUACCUUGAAGUCUGGUAGAGUAAUGAAUGAAGGCCCUCUUACUUUUCGGCUGUUGAAGUAUUAAGAACUGAAACUUGAAGUUUCUGGUAGCAGGUAGAUCAAUUUACUUCCCUGGUGAAUAAGGAAUGAAUAAGGGUGUGUGUUGGCUGAAAUGUUAAAGAGUGUAGGGUGGUUGGCUGAAGACUUGAGUACCUACGAAAUGGUACAAUGUUGGGUGGCUGAUUUGAGCCCUUUGUGUACUAUGGUAUGGCUGGAGUAUGGGGUAGCUCAGCUGGUGUCUGGUGAGGCAGAGCUACCGUGAAGAAUAUAUGCAGCGAGGCAGACAAAAUAAUUCAGAUUGGUAAUUUGAAGCACCUCUUUCAAAUGUUAAUUAGUGUUUCUGAUUUUGCUGCAGGUUAUUUCGGAGAAGAACAGGAAAGAGAUCUCCAAGUACAGGCUAUUUUGGAGAAGAACAGGUGCCCCAAGUGCGUAGAACUAAAGCUUCGCCGUGAAGGUGCUGCUUUCUGAGUCAAUUUCAUGCCUGGAGGAAUCUGUAAAUAUCUUUCUGGAUAUUGGAAGGUUUAAUAUGUCUGCAAGGUAUUAUAAGGAAAUUCUUGAGUAUUAUUAUCAGCAUUAGUCACCAUUUACACUUAUGUGGAGAUGGAUAAUUUUGAAAAAUAGAUGCCUUUACUUGAACUGAGCUUUGGAAGGAAAAUUCUUGAGCAAAUAAAUUAGUGUGCAUCAGUGUUGGACUUGUAGUUUGAUGUAUUCCAGCUGAGCCUUUGUGUGCACGCAUAUGAGUUUUUAUCAAGGGAGGAAGAUCAAGAUGGAGAUGUUACUUUCAAAAAGGGAGGAAGAUCAAGAUGGAGAUGAGCGCGAAGGAAGCCUUUGAGAGGUCGAUGAGGACUUUGUCGGAGUGGAUAAGCCAGGAAGUGAAUCGAAAUAUGUAAUGAUCUUAGAUACUUGAUACUUGGU